CCUACGGGGGGCAGCAGUGGGGAAUAUUGGACAAUGGGGGCAACCCUGAUCCAGCCAUGCCGCGUGUGUGAAGAAGGCCCUCGGGUUGUAAAGCACUUUCAGUGAGGAAGAACGCCUGGUGGUUAAUACCCAUCAGGAAAGACAUCACUCACAGAAGAAGCACCGGCUAACUCCGUGCCAGCAGCCGCGGUAAUACGGAGGGUGCGAGCGUUAAUCGGAAUUACUGGGCGUAAAGCGCGCGUAGGUGGCUUGAUAAGCCGGUUGUGAAAGCCCCGGGCUCAACCUGGGAACGGCAUCCGGAACUGUCAAGCUAGAGUGCAGGAGAGGAAGGUAGAAUUCCCGGUGUAGCGGUGAAAUGCGUAGAGAUCGGGAGGAAUACCAGUGGCGAAGGCGGCCUUCUGGACUGACACUGAUACUGAGGUGCGAAAGCGUGGGUAGCAAACAGGAUUAGAUACCCGAGUAGAC
rnacentral:rRNA from 1 species